rnacentral:rRNA from 1 species
AGUGAACGCUGGCGGUAGGCCUAACACAUGCAAGUCGAACUGCAGCACAGUAAGAGCUUGCUCUUACGGGUGGCGAGUGGCGGACGGGUGAGGAAUACAUCGGAAUCUACUUUUUCGUGGGGGCUAACGUAGGGAAACUUACGCUAAUACCGCAUACGACCUACGGGUUAAAGCAGGGGAUCUUCGGACCUUGCGCGUUUGUAUGAGCCGAUGUCGGAGUAGCUAGUUGGCGGGGGAAAGGCCCACCAAGGCGACGAUCCGUAGCUGGUCUGAGAGGAUGGUCAGCCACACUGGAGCUGAGACACGGUCCAGACUCCUACGGGAGGCAGCAGUGGGGAAUAUUGGACAAUGGGCGCAAGCCUGAUCCAGCCAUACCGCGUGGGUGAAGAAGGCCUUCGGGUUGUAAAGCCCUUUUGUUGGGAAAGAAAAGCAGCAGGUUAAUACCCCGCUGUUCUGACGGUACCCAAAGAAUAAGCACCGGCUAACUUCGUG